rnacentral:tRNA from 1 species
GCCCCUGUAGUGUAGUCCGGCCAAUGUUGUAGAAAUCCUACAUCAUACGGAAUAGCAUUCAAGACUGUCACUCUUGAGACCCGGGUUCGAAUCCCGGCGGGGGCGCCA